GUUUUUUAAUCUCUGAGCAGAAUAGAUAUAUUCAGCAGUUAUUGUCAUCUUCUUUGUUUUCAUUUAUUGACUGACUUCUGAUAGAUUUUAUUAAACUGUUUCAAGUACUUCUGACUGUUCAUCAAGUUUUUCUUGAGUUCUCAAGAAUUAUCUGUGUCUGUACAAUCUUUCUAUUUGACAAGAUAUUGUGUUUGACUGUGGUAUUGAUGCUUGUCUAAUAUAGCUUCAACUUUUCAUUUCUCUUGCACAUCUAUAAUUAUCAGUUCUGCUUGUGGGAUUUGUCUGUUGCAUGUGUGAUAUGAUUUGAGAAGAGAAAUAUGGAAUAUAGAAUGAAUUUCUUUAUAUUACAGCAUGAGUUUCAGUUUGUAUGCCUGUGUACUGCAGAUAUCAAUUAUUUGAAAAAGACUCAAAAAUUGAUGAUCUAGUUUGAGUGAGAA
rnacentral:sRNA from 1 species